GUUAACAUUAAUGGGAGACAACAUUAAUGGCAAACAAUACAAAGUGGUGCAAGUUUAGCACCCUAAAGUUGACUUUGAAAAAGUGGCAUGGGAUAAUUUUUUUUUGGUCCUUGAGAUAAUGGGCUAUUUAUUAUUUGGUCCUUAAACCUCAACUAUAAAUAGGCCUUCUCAUUUCUCAUUUCAAUUCAUCCCAACCAAUCUUUCUCUCUUAGUUUUCUCUCUUCUCCCAUUUGAGAAUUCUUAAGGAAUUCUAUUUGUUUGUAAUACUUUGGAGAUAGUAAAGUUAUCAUCUGGUGUUAGUGCCCGAG
rnacentral:lncRNA from 1 species